ensembl:lncRNA RNA binding motif protein 44
ACAAAUUCUGUCAUAUGAUGGUAUUGUAUUUACAUUAGGUUCCAUUCAGCAGUCGAUUUAAUAUUGUUUCCAUUGUGCGCUCGUCCCUCAGUGGUCGCAACACUGUUACCGUAAGUAUCGCAGGAAUCGGGCACUUCAACUAUAGCGACGAUUUGACCAGGGAAAAGCGAUCGGGGGUUCAUUGGACCGCGGUCUUUGACAGAGGUAAGAAGAAAGUCCUGGUUGUAACAGUGCAAAUAGUUUUACUAAGAUAGUUGUACGUUUAUACUUUUGCACUACACGUAAAUGGAAAAUAUUUUACCACAUUUUAUGUUUUGCAAGUUUAGCUUUAUUAGCGAUUUAUGUAUAAAUUAUAUUGGAGUGAAUUGUAUUGUAUACAUUGUAUAUAUUAUAUUACGAGCUGUUUACAAGCAAUUUUCAACUUUCUUUUUCUUUCUUUUAACUCCCUGAACGUGACAACGCAGCAGGAGACGAGCUUUCAUUGCUGAGUUUAAGUUGGAGCUUUGACACGUGUGGCGCUAGCUAGCCUACAAUGUGGCACGGCUGUCCGUGGGGUAGUGUCUACGGCGGGGCCGAUCCCGUACCGUUCUAUGCUAACGGCUAUGUGUUCGCCUUGGUGCCGGCGCCUCGGAUGCCCUUGCGUCACAACGCGCUGACUCUGAGUCCAAACCCAGGACUCAGGUGUCCGGACGAUGUGAUUAAAAAAAAGGAAGAGACCAGGAGGCUCCUCUUGGACAGGCGUUUGUUUGAUUUGGUGGAUGCUCAUCCUUAUCUUGAACUAACUGACCCCAAGUUGCUGGGCUGGUACCUUGGUUUGUCUGCAGAGGACAGGACGAUCAUCCAAGCUGACGGAGGACUUCAAAACUUUCUACUAAGACAUCCUGCCUUAGAACUGACUCCGCAUCACGUUUAUGUCAAGGGAAUGUCCCCUACAGUGCAAGAGUUGAACGUCUACAGCAAUAAUAUGUGGAAAAAUUCAGCUGUAUCAGACCCUACGAACAGACAGGAUGGGUCACAGAAACAGCCAUGUGAGGAUCCAGGAAUCCCAGGAAGCUUCUGUCUGGACACGGUGCUGGAGAGGUGCAGACCAAGCAGAAAGUCUGAGCACAGGAGCUUUAGGUUAGUGACCCAAGAUCAGACGCCCAACUUCAGCGAGGUCCAUCCAUCACAGUCUGAAUGGUCAACAAUUAAAAACACGUCUCUUACUGAGCUCUCCAGUUCUGACUAUCUCAGAACUACAGAAAAUGGCACAAAGAAAGAGAUUCAGGAUUGUCAGGUCUAUAAUGAGGGCACCAUUAACACAGCUAAUGUAGGCUCGAGUCAGGGGAGGGACAUUUGUACCAUAUUGGAUGAAGACAAGAGCAUCCUUGUUUGUGUUACCAGCGAUGAUCAGAAAACGUACUCGGGUACAGUCUCUCCAAAUGGUGAAACACUAGCACCCAGGAGUGAGCUCUUAGACGGCGGUCAGUCUCUCAACAACAGCUGCUCUGAGGAAAAAGGCCCUUUUCCGCUGCCUCGUGUUUCCUGUGACACAGAGUCUGCACAGUGUGUGUCAGCUUUCACCCAAACCAAUGAUCCAGUAUCAUCAGACAAGCAAAUCAAUACUGAAAUCUGCAUGGCAGAUGUGGACUACGUUGCUGUGGAAUUUCUCAGGCUCAAGAAAACUGAAGAGAAAGUGAAGAAUAAAUGUGACUGCAUGCAGCGCGCUCAACAAGCCGAGCUGUCUCUGCUGAGCCUGCAGUACCGCAUGUGCAGACAGCAUUGUUGGAGUCUCCACUGCGCCGCGGCUGGUGGAAACCAGGGCAGCGCUGAUGGGAAGCAACAUUGUCCAGUGGACCCUCCUGCAGACAUCAGUGCUGUUUUGAACAAACUGGAAUCUGACUAUAAUGAGCUAAGUGGUAGGAUCCUGGAAGGGGUUCCUCUAGAGCAACUGAAGCCUCUGUCAGUCAACUGUGGGAAGAUAACCCCAGCGCCUUACAUUCCUGCACAGGUCAUCGCCAGCAUGCAAGGAAGUGUUCCUCAACCGCCCCAGGAUCUGCAGAGGAACAGAACACCAACAAAUGACUCCCAGAGAGAAACCAAAGAGGUUACCCAGCAGAACAGCUCGGCCAAGAGAGCAGUCCCUGUCGUUCCUCAGGCGAGUGGAGCUCUGUGUGAUGCACAGACACUGGCAGACACUCAGACGGUUGACUGAUCAACCUCAUGGCUCCAGCGUCCACAACUCUGAUGACUGAGCUGACACGGUGCCAUCUGGACCUGGAGGCAGGAGAACUUGGGAGUCCGGGUGGAACUGAGGCCAUGUGCCAAGUUAUGAAGGAUCAGUCCUUUGGUGCCUGGAAUGUUGUGUUAACAUUAAUUUUGUUGCAUGUUGAAAUAGUUUGACAGCAGUUUAUUUCCAAGGCUUUUUUCAGUAACCUGUGUUCAUAUGAAAACAGUAUAUGAAUAUCUUGUUCUAAGGUUGUGUUUAAGGUUGCUCAUGUUGGAUGUGCAGGAAUUUGGUUGUCUGUUAAUAAAAAGUAUGUACAAAAACGCUUUGGUUAUUAU